rnacentral:rRNA from 1 species
AGUGAACGCUGGCGGUAGGCCUAACACAUGCAAGUCGAACGGCAGCACAGUAAGAGCUUGCUCUUACGGGUGGCGAGUGGCGGACGGGUGAGGAAUACAAUCGGAAUCUACUUUUUCGUGGGGGAUACCGUAGGGAAACUUACGCUAAUACCGCAUACGACCUCCGGGUGAAAGCAGGGGAUCUUCGGACCUUGCGCGAUUGAAUGAGCCGAUGUCGGAUUAGCUAGUUGGCGGGGUAAAGGCCCACCAAGGCGACGAUCCGUAGCUGGUCUGAGAGGAUGAUCAGCCACACUGGAACUGAGACACGGUCCAGACUCCUACGGGAGGCAGCAGUGGGGAAUAUUGGACAAUGGGCGCAAGCCUGAUCCAGCCAUACCGCGUGGGUGAAGAAGGCCUUCGGGUUGUAAAGCCCUUUUGUUGGGAAAGAAAAGCAGCAGGUUAAUACCCCGCUGUUCUGACGGUACCCAAAGAAUAAGCACCGGCUAACUUCGUG